GUGAAAUUACUUAUGACUAUGGUGGGAAAGAAUGGCCCUGGCGGAAAAAGCUAAAGAUGGCAAGCAUCCCUUCUGGUCAACAGUGUGUUGCAGAGCCUAUUGCCCAUGACGUGGAGCACCAUGUGAUCUCUACAGACUCAUUCACAGACAGAGAAUUAAGAGCAGAGUGUCAGUCAUCUAGACCUACAGCCGA